rnacentral:rRNA from 1 species
UACGGAGGGGGCUAGCGUUGUUCGGAAUUACUGGGCGUAAAGCGCACGUAGGCGGUUUGUUAAGUCAGAGGUGAAAUCCCGGAGCUCAACUCCGGAACUGCCUUUGAUACUGGCAAGCUAGAGUCCGGAAGAGGUAAGUGGAACUCCUAGUGUAGAGGUGGAAUUCGUAGAUAUUAGGAAGAACACCAGUGGCGAAGGCGGCUUACUGGUCCGGAACUGACGCUGAGGUGCGAAAGCGUGGGGAGCAAACAGG